GUCGAUUAUGAUGAUUUUGAUACAAAAAGUAGGAGGCAUGAUUUAGGUAAACUCAGACCGACUGUGAGCAUUAUUUAUCUAACAAUUCGCUUAUCACAUUUCUGUGGUUGCUAUUUAUGAAGCAUUUCAGUCGUUUUUUGAACAUAUUAGUGCUCUUCAGAAAUUUAAUCUCUUCCGGAAUGUGAUUAUAGCAUUUUGGUGCAAGGUAAGAAAACGAUCUUUGUGUUGUUGUUUUAGUCAUAGAAGGAAGUUUGUAAUAGUUUUUAAUUCGUGUAUUAUAGUUAUGAACAGGGAGUUGGUUGGAGUGUUUUGAAGUAUGAUAUUUGAUACUUGUGAUGAAGAAGUAUAACUGCCUCAGGUCUAAGAUCUGUGAUUCAUAAUAAAGUUUGUCAGAAGGAUAUCUGAGGUUUUUAGAGUAUUUCAGCCUUAUGAAUCUCCUCUGUAUCACUUCUAAUUGGUUUAUGUGCGUCCUUAGAGCUCCACCCCAUGCUAGAAUCCCGUAGCGUAGAUGGCUUUCUACUAAUGCAUGGUAUAACAUUCUCAUCAGGCCCACAGGUAGUAUGACAAAUUUUUCAGUGGUGCUUUCUAUUUUCAAUUCUUGGAAAUCGGGAAGUCCAGGUGAGCUGCAGCUAAACG